GCAGAAAAAGACAAAAUUCAAGAAGCACUUGAGUUUCUUGGAGAGGUCUAUAGCUGGAAAGCUUGCCACAGAGGAAGAAGGUGGUUUUGAUGAAGAAGGGAAAUGAGUUAUUUUGCUGUAGACCUUGUCACUGUUGUUGCUGCAUUGCUGUGGAAAGAGAGACCAGAAGAAUGGAGGUCAAAGGAGAGAAGCUACUCAAUGUCUGGCAAAAGGAACGCCUUUUUCUUUUUCUUUUUUAUUUUUUCAAAAUAUUUUAAAAAAGAAAAGCUCUUAUGUUGUAAUUUUACCUUUUUUUUUUUUUUUUAAUCUACUCGUAUGCUACUGCCUAUGGUAUUGGGAGCAACCUAAGAGAAUAUAGGAAACUGAAUAAGGUUUGUGUCCUCCAUUUUCUUUUGUUGUCAUUAGUGGCAGGCAUCUCUGGGACCUCCCAGGUCGUGUUCUUUUGAUACUAUUCACAAACUCUUCCUCA